GACAGCAGUCGCCACGGUAAUACGGAGGGUGCAAGCGUUAAUCGGAAUUACUGGGCGUAAAGCGCACGCAGGCGGUCUGUCAAGUCAGAUGUGAAAUCCCCGGGCUUAACCUGGGAACUGCAUUUGAAACUGGCAGGCUAGAGUCUUGUAGAGGGGGGUAGAAUUCCAGGUGUAGCGGUGAAAUGCGUAGAGAUCUGGAGGAAUACCGAUGGCGAAGGCAGCCAUCUGGCCUAAUACUGACUCUGAGGUACGAAAGCAUGGGGAGCAAACAGGAUUAGAUACCCCUGUAGUCCCUGUCUCUUAUAC
rnacentral:rRNA from 1 species